GGUGAGAUGGCCGAGUUGGUUAUGGCGCCAGGUUAAGGCUUUCAAGCGUUAACGAAUGUUUCCUGGUGGAGCAAUCCUCCUGGGUUCGAGUCCCAGUCUCAUCA
rfam:Purpureocillium lilacinum isolate PLFJ-1 scaffold00008, whole genome shotgun sequence.